rnacentral:rRNA from 1 species
CCUACGGGAGGCUGCAGUGGGGAAUAUUGCACAAUGGGGGGAACCCUGAUGCAGCGACGCCGCGUGAGUGAAGAAGGAUUUCGGUAUGUAAAGCUCUAUCAGCAGGGAAGAAAAUGACGGUACCUGACCAAGAAGCCCCGGCUAACGACGUGCCCGCAGCCGCGGUAAUACGUAGGGGGCAAGCGUUAGCCGGAAUUACUGGGUGUAAAGGGAGCGUAGACGGUGCUGCAAGUCUGGAGUGAAAGGCGGGGGCCCAACCCCCGGACUGCUCUGGAAACUGUGUACCUUGAGUGCAGGAGCGGUAAGCGGAAUUCCUCUUGUAGCGGUGAACUGCGUCGAUCUUAGGCGGAACCCCCGUGGCGAAGGCGGCUUACUGGACUGUACCUGACGUUGCGGCUCGAAAGCGUGGGGAGCAAACAGGAUUAGAUACCCGAGUAGUC